AGCAGCCGCGGUAAUUCCAGCUCCAGUAGCGUAUAUUAAAGUUGUUGCAGUUAAAAAGCUCGUAGUUGAAUUUCGGGAUCAGACUGUCGGUCGUGCCUCGGUACGCACUGGCAUUAUUGGUUCCUACCUUCUGAAGAACCGCGAUGUCAUUAAUUUGGUGUCGCGGGGAAUCAGGACUGUUACUUUGAAAAAAUUAGAGUGUUUAAAGCAGGCGCACGCUUGAAUACAUUAGCAUGGAAUAAUGAAAUAGGACGUUUGAUUCUAUUUUGUUGGUUUCUGGGAUCGACGUAAUGAUUAAUAGGGAUAGUUGGGGGCAUUAGUAUUCAAUUGUCAGAGGUGAAAUUCUUGGAUUUAUUGAAGACUAACUACUGCGAAAGCAUUUGCCAAGGAUGUUUUCAUUAAUCAAGAACGAAAGUUAGGGGAUCGAAGACGAUCAGAUACCGUCGUAGUCUUAACCAUAAACUAUGCCGACUAGGGAUCGGAUGAUGUUAAUUUUAUAAUGACUC
rnacentral:rRNA from 1 species